UUUAAACCCUUUUUAAAGUAUCAAUUGGAGGGCAAGUCUGGUGCCAGCAGCCGCGGUAAUUCCAGCUCCAAUAGCGUAUAUUAAAAUUGUUGCAGUUAAAAAGCUCGUAGUUGAAUUUCUGCUAAAAGUAACCGGUCUGCUUUUAAUAAAAGUGGUAUCUUGGUGUGUAUUUAGCAAUGAUGUCCUUUGAAGUGUUUUUUACUUUAUUGUAAUAAAGCAUAUUCAGGACUUUUACUUUGAGAAAAUUAGAGUGUUUCUAGCAGGCCGACGCUUUGAAUACUGCAGCAUGGAAUAAUAAGAUAGGAUUUUAGUUCUACAUUAUUGGUUUUAAGAGCUAAAUUAAUGAUUGAUAGGGACAGUUGGGGGCAUUUGUAUUUAACUGUCAGAGGUGAAAUUCUUAGAUUUGUUAAAGACAAACUACUGCGAAAGCAUUUGCCAAAGAUGUUUUCAUUAAUC
rnacentral:rRNA from 1 species